UACAGAGGUCUCAAGCGUUGUUCGGAUUCAUUGGGCGUAAAGGGUGCGUAGGCGGCGCGGUAAGUCGGGUGUGAAAUCUAGGAGCUCAACUCCUAAACUGCACUGGAUACUGCUCUGCUAGAGGACUGGAGAGGAGACUGGAAUUCACGGUGUAGCAGUGAAAUGCGUAGAUAUCGUGAGGAAGACCAGUGGCGAAGGCGGGUCUCUGGACAGUUCCUGACGCUGAGGCGCGAAGGCCAGGGGAGCAAACGGG
rnacentral:rRNA from 1 species